rnacentral:rRNA from 1 species
UACGGAGGGUGCGAGCGUUAAUCGGAAUAACUGGGCGUAAAGGGCACGCAGGCGGGCUUUUAAGUGAGAUGUGAAAUCCCCGGGCUUAACCUGGGAAUAGCAUUUCAGACUGGGAGUCUAGAGUACUUUAGGGAGGGGUAGAAUUCCACGUGUAGCGGUGAAAUGCGUAGAGAUGUGGAGGAAUACCGAAGGCGAAGGCAGCCAUCUGGCCUAACACUGACGCUGAGGUGCGAAAGCAUGGGGAGCAAACAGG